GGUCACUCUCUGCUUCCUCCUCGUGCUCGCAGCGGAGAGCAAGGAGGACGAUAAUACUGUCGUCGUCUUCUACGGCACAGCGCGAUGCAAGAUCAACACCUCCAGGAUCAUCAGCAGUAAGUAAAUUUAUAUGCUGGGUCAACAAGCUAAUUAAACUUCUUUCACAAAUCAAAUGGCCCAAGAAUAAUAGACAAUCAUAUGAGUUUGAGUUUGCUAACCACGCCUUCCACGCGGUCCGAAUAAUCGACAAUCAUAUAACGUAUGCAUGCAGCGGAAGACUAUGUAUGUACAUGGCAUCAUAAAUUUUACGCAAAAACAUAGUUCCAAAUUGUACAUAUUAUUAUGUAUCUGGACAUAAACUGUAUCUAGACAAAAAUUAUGCACCAAGAAAAAUUAAAAUGACCUACAAUUUGGAAUGCAGGGAGUAGCAUUUUGCAUGCCGUCGUCGUCUCAUCACCGUGUGCGUGUGUGCAGAUGCUCCUUUGCAGCUGGUGAUCAACAACGCCACGAUCCCCGGCACCGGCAGGACGACGAGCACGGGCCAGAUCGUGAUGGCCGUGAGCCUGACCUCGGCACAGCAUCUGGACGCCCUGACGAGCAAUGGCAGCGGCAAGGCGUUCCUUGUUGCUCCUCCGCACGCCUGCGGCGCGCCAAGCAUUCCUCCCGGGAUGGCAGUCGCCGUGGAGGUGCACCCAACCGAUGUGGUUUCCGCCUCAGGUGGGCUACUCCGUCCGAUGAACAACGGCGGCCUGCAUGCAACGACGAACGCCGGCGGCGCCGCCACCAGCCACAACAAGGGUGCCGGUGACACUGUCCAUGCGCAGAUGCCAGCCAUCGCCGCCUCAGAUGGGCUGGUCCUUCCGGACGUCGAAAUGGUUUUUGCUAAAGUCAUCGAUCCUUUCGCUUGCCUGCUCCUAGGCUUUUUUGUAAUCGGUUAAUAAUGAAGGUGAACCUCCGCUAGUAUAUAAUAUAAUGAAAAAAUAAAUCUGUGAUGAAGGUCAGGUAUAUGUGUUGAGUUGCCGUGCCAUGAAAAUGCCAUUAUUACCGGUUGUGAACCCCUUUAGUACCGGUUUCGCAACUGGUACUUAGUAGUUCGAUACUAAGGGGGCUCUUUAGUACCGGUUGAAAUAACUGGUACCAAAGGGUAUUAAAAAAUUAAAAAAGUAAAUCCUCGCACGACUGGCUCCGCCGCCCUCCUCCGUCCGCCCACCGCUGCUCCCGCCUCCGCCCGCCCACCACCCUCCUCCCACCACCCACCCGCCGCCCUCCGCCACUCCCGCCUCCGCCCUCUGCUCGCCGCCACUCUCGCCCGCCCACCGCCGCCACCUCACCUCGCCCCGCCGCUGCUCCUCACUGUGCCGGUAAGGGGCGAGCGGAGGAGGGAGGGGAGGGGAGGCAGUGGAUCGAGAUCUAGCUAGCGGAAGGGGAGAUAGAGGAGAGAGAGAUAGCAGCGGGGGUGGGGUGACGGAUGGUGCAUGUGAAGAUAAGAUAGCAGUGGGGGGACGGAUGGGAAAUAAAGACAGCAGAAGGAGAUGAACGACGGAUGGAAGGCCUAAAGAUAGCAGAAGGAGAUGAACGGUGGGUGGAAGGCCUUUAGUACCAAAUGGGGGCUCUAUCGGGUGGAGCUCCCACCCGAUAUUAUACACAAAGGGUUCCUACCCUUAGUCCACUUAAGACGCACCCCCAACAGUAGACCCUCAACUAUUUGAUCUUGGCUGGUACAACGAGAUCUAAUAGUUGCUCAUGUUAAAAGAGGCCGACAACUCAUUCUCCGGGUGUAUGCCUAAGACGAUACUCCUAAGACUAUUUCAGAGGCAUUUGCAUCUCCAGAUGCAAAUGAUUGAAAAGAAGCUAUCCAUAGUGAGAUGGACUCUAUUCUUUCUAAUGGAACUUGGGAGGUUGUUGAUCGACCAUAUGGUUGUAAACCUGUGGGUUGCAAGUGGGUGUUCAAAAAGAAGCUUAGGCCUGAUGGUACUAUUGAUAAGUACAAGGCUCGACUUGUGGCUCAGGGUUAUACCCAGAAAGAAGGCGAAGAUAUAAAUUUCUUCAACACUUACUCACAUGUUGCUAGAUUGACCAGUAUUCGAGUAUUACUUUCCCUUGCUACCUCACAUGGUCUUCUCGUUCAUCAGAUGGAUGUUAAGACAGCUGUCCUUAAUGGAGAGUUGGAUGAGGAAAUUUAUAUGAAUCAGCCUGAUGGGUUUGUAAUAAAGGGUCAAGAGAACAAGGUGUGUAAAUUGCUGAAAUCUUUGUAUGGCCUGAAACAAGCACCUAAGCAGUGGCAUGAGAAAUUUGAUACUACACUCAUAUCAGCAUGCUUUUCUGUCAAUGAGUCUGAUAGAUGUGUGUACUACCGCCAUGGUGGGGGUGAGGGAGUUAUAUUGUGCUUGUAUGUCGAUGACAUACUGAAUUUUGGUACAAAUCUUGACGUGAUUAAAGAGGUCAAGUCAUUUCUGUGCCAAAAUUUUGACAUGAAAGAUCUGGGAGAGGCAGAUGUAAUUCUGAAUAUCAAGUUGAUCAAAGGAGAGAAUGGGAUUACUCUCACGCAAUCUCAUUAUGUGGAAAAGUUCUUGAGCCGGUUUGGCUUCAAGGACAGUAAGCCUUCUUCCACACCUUAUGAUCCAAGCUUGAUACUUCGGAAAAACAAGAGAAUUGGUAGAGAACAAUUAAGAUACUCUCAGAUUAUUGGAUCACUUAUGUAUUUAGCCAGUGCUACUAGGCCUGACAUCUCAUAUGUUGUUUGCAAACUGAGCCAGUUUACCUCUAAUCCGGGAGAUGAUCAUUGGCAUGCGCUUGAGCGAGUCAUGCGCUAUUUAGUUGGUACUAUGGAUUACGGAAUUCACUACUCCGGGUAUCCUGCGGUGCUGGAAGGCUAUAGUGAUUCAAAUUGGAUAUCUGAUGCUGAUGAACUGUAUGCCACAAGUGGAUACGUCUUCACUCUUGGUGGUGGUGUUGUUUCAUGGAGGUCAUCCAAACAGACUAUCUUAACGAGGUUUACCAUGGAAGCAGAACUUGCAGCAUUAGAUACAGCCACAGUUGAGGCUGAUUGGCUACGUGAACUCUUGAUGGACUUGCCUAUUGUCGAGAAACCUAUGCCGGCAAUACUUAUGAAUUGUGACAAUCAAACGGUGAUAGUCAAAGUGAACAAUUCUAAGGACAAUAUGAAGUUAUCAAGACACGUUAAGAGACGUCUGAAAUCUGUCAGGAAAAUGAGAAACUCCGGAGUAAUAUCAGUGGAUUACAUCUCAACUGAUAAAAACUUGGCAGAUCAGUUCACUAAGGGGCUGUCACGUAAUGUGAUAGACAGUGCAUCAAAGGAGAUAGGUAUGAGACCCAUAUGAGCUACACCAUGGUGGUAACCCAACCUAUGUGAUCGGAGAUCCCGUGAAGUAGGAUCUGGGAAGAACAAGCCAUGGGAUAGCAUGAGAGUAUCCUACUAACCCACUCGAGAAAUGAUGCAACACUCUCAAACCACUGCAUGGCAGGGUGGCUACUGCCUUAAUAUAUUUUGUUGGCUUUAAUUAGCAAAGAUGUUGCCCUGCAGAACAUCUUGGAAAAAUAUACCUAUAUGAGCCCGACUGUUGUAAGGUCGCAGUCUGUGAGACUUGGGUGAUCUCUACUAAGCUCAUGAAGAGACCAGGGGGUACGACCUAUAUGCCCCAUCCGCGGGGUAGGCUACUGGCAGCCAGGUACUAGUUCCGACUUUGAGUGAAACUUGUCCGCACAAAACUUGCAAUUCAAGGCUUAGUCCAUUGGAUGAAUGUAGCUUGAAGCUCUAGGCGAGAGUUCAACUUAACAGUCCUUGUUGAAAUACUGGUAUAUCAAACAGUAGUGAGAAAUGUGCAAAACACCUAAAUUGGUAUUUGAGAUCUGGUGGGGGAUUGUUAGAUAUAUGGGCUUGGCCCAUAUAUAUGAUAAUUCUGAAUAAAUCUCAAAGGCCCAUUUGCGUAAAGAGGGGGUACACCAUCUAUUAGUCCCAUAUUGCUAAUAGAUGAGGGUGUUGGAGCUUUUCCUCCCUAUAUAUAUGGACCACCUCCCUCAUGAAAAAGAUGCAAUAUAGACUACUAUACGGGAAGACCCUAAGGUUAGGGUAUCCCUAAGGUGGUCUGUACUAGUUAGGUUUUUGCCUCCUCUCGCUGUUGCGCCGCCACCGUAGUCUACUCCAUCCCGAUUGUCGGCGUGCAUCGGCGAUUGGGAGAGCAGGUCUCCGGAACCGUCGUCUUCAGCGAUCCUGCACCGGAAGAGGGCGAAUAAGGUUUUUGGGAAGCGCUCUGCGCGACUACUCGAUCGCUUCCUCCGCUUCGUCAAGUUCUUCGUCGACUCCUUCACCACGGCUCGUCUACCUCUUCGUCACUCAGGCAUCACUCGUCGUCGCGAACAACAUCAGGCUGCUGAUCGUCGUCGCCUGCUGUACCCGGUAGUCGUCCAGGAGCCGGUCUUCAUCAAGAAAGAAACGUACGAUCUCUUAUCUCAAAUUAUGUCUUCCAUACUAGCUAUUAUGAUCUGUUGCAGUCUGAUAGCACUGGAUAGUAUGGUAGAAUGUGUGAUUCUAUUUGCAAUGAUAGACUUGUCUAGAUCUUGCGUAGACAUGUCUAAUUUAAUCUACUGUUCAUCGUAUUCAUGAUUUAUUUCUGGAUUAAAUUAAAACUAAAAGUGCUUAUAUAUCCAACAAUCUCUACAGCUAAAAAAGUAAAAAGACCAUCAAAACGUCGUCCUACAUUUGCCACAAUAUAUAGUAAGCAAUAUAUGCCGGCCGAGCUCGAGCUUCGUCGCCCACGAGCAUGCCGCCGCGCUGGGGAUGGAAGGCGUCCACACUGCGCGGGAGCUCGGCGGUGCCCGCGUCCAUGUCAGCGCGCCUCCUGAGGCGGACGUGCACGUACAACAGCUGCAACUUGAGAAGGUGCAUGCCAGCGAGCUCCGCGGGGAUGUUGCCGCGCUUCAGGCACCGGAGAUGCUUGGGGUCGAGGAAGAGGUGCGGAGGGAUGGGCGGCGGCGGCGGCGGAGGGGAGGACAAGGAGAUGAGCGCGGUCACCGGUGGCAGUAGGGGUGGCGGCACUGCAGCGGGUGCUGCUGGGCGACGCGGUAGAGGCCGGUGCCGCCGGGAGGUGGACGAGCCGCGUAUAGAAAAUAAGGCCGACCAGAAGAAAAAAAAAGAAAGGUAAGGGAAAGGAGGAUGACACAUGGGACCCAUAGAUGACAGGUGGGACCCACUGAUAAGCGUGGCUAACGGUGUUAGAAUUGUAUCCAUCCUAACCUUCUCAGCCCCUCCAAUCAAACAAAAAAUUGGAACGGACCCAUCCCUCCUAACCAAACGGGUUGAAUCUAACCUAGUAAAGUGGGAUGGACCCAACCCAUUCCACUUGGUCCCAAAACCAAACACAUGCUUAGGAAUGGACGGGGGGUACGGAAGCAUCUAAAAAUGGAGGGCCUAUAGAGGGCCCAUUGAAAUACUUUUUUUAAAGCUUGAUCCUUUAGAUUUGCGGUAGAGUGUUUAGAGCAAAUACAUUGCUACACAUCAAUGGUCUCAUAGGUCGUCUCAUGCAGUGCCACGUAGGAUUUUUUUAUAACGUGGAGGAAAGAGAACGAGGAGAGAGAAAGAGGUCGUUGUUUCGUGAAACUAAAUUGUAGGACUACGAGACAACUCAAUAACCAUUGUACGAGUUAUUGUUGUCAUGCAACUGUUGGCGCUGAAAAUCGGCCGAUGACCCUCAGCGUCGGACACACGACCCGGGAGAAUCUGCUUAACUCCUGUUCGAGUUAUUGCCCUGGUGCGGUUCGCGUGGCGUGCCAGUCAAUCUAACCUGUUGAUUGACAAGGAAAGAAAAGUAUUAAAUUCCGGGGGUUUCAAUCGGCUGAAGUUCCGAUCUGUCUCGAAAAGCGUAUCAGCGAAUCGACCAAUUUACUGUAGAGAUGACCGGCUAUAGAGCAGCCGAUGAUCACGUAGCGAUUGUAAAGAAACUACUAGAGCAAUUUAAACAACGCUACGAAACGCAACACUUGAAGUAGAUCUAAUCGGCUAUAUGGCAAUAAAUAAGAAUAACAGUAACGAAGCCGACAGUUCGAAUCUCAAGCUGGAUAACUGGUGAUAAAACUAGAGCAAUAGAUAAAUCCUAUAAUUCUAGUUAAUAUCGAUAACUGGUGAAUAAAUCUAAACGAAACGACAGCGAUGCGCCCUAAGUUAAAGCUUAGAUAUUACUCGAUAAACGGAACUUACAAAUCGGCUGGAGAUCGUGUCGAUGCAUCCCUGCCAAUCCGUACGAACUCGUGAAAAGAAAAGGUUUUUGGCGAAGUCGCCGACUUGAAGGUAAAGUACGAAGAAUAAAUAGGUUUAUUGUAUUGAUUGAUGUGUUGUUUUACAAAUCUCUAGAGACUUAAGUUCGGGUUUGUAACACCAACCGGGACUAAAAGUGACUCCACGGAUGAGCUUUUAUUGAGGAUCACCUUUAGUUCCGGGUUCAAAAAUAAUCGAGAUUUUUGUUGAGGAUGGAAGUUCCUUUUUCUACUUCUACUAGUGAACGUUGUCAUUCAUGUGCAAGUUACAAGUUACAAGUUACAAGUUACAAGUUACGUGAUUUUUCACGCAAAAUAUGCGCAUGAGUCGUGCGUUGGAUUCGAACCUACGACCUCAAACCUCCCGCGUAGCUUCUUUACCAUCUCACCUACAAAGCACAUCUAAUUGAGUAGAGGAUGCAGUCUUUUUGUAGUAACUCGUGGGGGACACUUUAGUCCGAAUUUGUAACACCAACCGGGACUAGUCAUCUUUAGUCCCGGUUGGUGGUUGGUGUUACCAACUAGAACUAAGGUGUCUUCGCGGACGAGCUUUUUAUUGAGGAUCACCUUUAAUCCCGGUUAGUUUUGGGUUCAAAAACAACCCAGACUUUUAUUAGGGAUGGAAGAUUAUUUAUCUACUAGUGAACGUUAUCAUUCAUGCGUAUCGAAAGCAGCCCCGGCAUCGAAACACCACCUCUCGCCUAUAAAUGGUGACCAAACCUUUCGCUGCAAUGGCAACCACCAAGGCUGCAAUGGCAACCAGCAAGAUGCUUCUCCCGGUCACUCUCUGCUUCCUCCUCAUGCUCGCAGCGGAAAGCAAGGAAGACGAUAAUACUGUCGUCGUCUUCUACGGCACAGCGCGAUGCAAGAUCAACACCUCCAGGAUCAUCAGCAGUAAGUAAAUUUAUAUGCUGGGUCAACAAGCUAAUUAAACUUCUUUCACAAAUCAAAUGGCCCAAGAAUAAUAGACAAUCAUAUGAGUUUGAGUUUGCUAACCACGCCUUCCACGCGGUCCGAAUAAUCGACAAUCAUAUAACGUAUGCAUGCAGCGGAAGACUAUGUAUGUACAUGGCAUCAUAAAUUUUACGCAAAAACAUAGUUCCAAAUUGUACAUAUUAUUAUGUAUCUGGACAUAAACUGUAUCUAGACAAAAAUUAUGCACCAAGAAA
rnacentral:lncRNA from 1 species